CCGUGACUUUCGGGUGGUUGCACCUCGGCUGAUAGGGAAAAUAACUUGCUGGGAAGAUUUCCAUCAAGAGACACACUGAGAGGUCAGAUCGUCUUCAUCAAAACAGGCGCUGUGGCUAAGAAUCAAAGGAGAAGGGGUGUUUGCCC